AUGGCAAAAACUUUAAACAUAGAGUAUAACAAAAGGUUAACUCUUGAUUGUAAGACUAGAUGGAAUUCAACUUAUAUCAUGAUUAGCAUUGCAGUACGAUACAUAGAGAUAUUUGAAAAAUUAAAGGCACGUGAAAAGAAGUUUAAGUGUUGCCCAACCAAAGAUGAUUGGAAGUUUGCAAAAGAAAUAUGUGAUAGGCUGAAGCUCUUCUUUGAUAUCACCGAGUCAUUCUCGGGCACGAAGUAUGUCACAACAAAUCUUUUUUUCCCUAAAGUGAUUACCAUUCGCUUUGCCAUAAGGAAAUGGGGUAAGAGUGACAUUGAGCUUAUACAAAAAAUGUCCGAGGAAAUGAAGGAUAAGUUUGAGAAGUAUUGGAAAGAUAUCCAUGGUCUGAUGUCUGUUGCAACAGUUCUUGAUCCAAGGUAUAAACUUCAUAUCCUCAAUGCUCUUUAUGGUCCCCUCUAUGGAAGAGAGCAUGCAGCCACAGAAAUAGAGAAGGUGAAGAAGUUAUUGAUUCAAUUGGUGAAGCAAUAUAAAGAUGAAGUUGAAGGCGAGGAUGCAUGGGAUGCUUCUGUUGCCGAUCCACUUGGAGAAGAAGAUGAAGCCAUGAAACUCUAUGAUCAGUAUUUGUCUAGUCACCCCACUGUCCCUUCUUCUUCAAUCCAUACAGAAUUAGACUUGUAUUUGGAAGAAGCUCGUCUACCUAGAACGCAAGAAUUGGAUAUCAUCAAUUGGUGGAAGGUUAGCGGCUCUAGGUUUCCUACCUUGAAAAACUUGCUCGUGAUAUAUUGCCUAUUCCCAUAA
rnacentral:rRNA from 1 species